rnacentral:rRNA from 1 species
GUAGGGUGCGAGCGUUAAUCGGAAUUACUGGGCGUAAAGCGUGCGCAGGCGGUUUUGUAAGACAGAGGUGAAAUCCCCGGGCUUAACCUGGGAACUGCCUUUGUGACUGCAAGGCUUGAGUGCGGCAGAGGGGGAUGGAAUUCCGCGUGUAGCAGUGAAAUGCGUAGAUAUGCGGAGGAACACCGAUGGCGAAGGCAAUCCCCUGGGCCUGCACUGACGCUCAUGCACGAAAGCGUGGGGAGCAAACAGGAUUAGAUACCCUGGUAGUCCACGCCCUAAACGAUGUCAACUGGUUGUUGGACGGCUUGCUGUUCAGUAACGUAGCUAACGCGUGAAGUUGACCGCCUGGGGAGUACGGCCGCAAGGUUG